GACGAACGCUGGCGGCGUGCUUAACACAUGCAAGUCGAACGGAAAGGCCCUGCUUGCAGGGUACUCGAGUGGCGAACGGGUGAGUAACACGUGGGUGAUCUGCCCUGCACUUCGGGAUAAGCCUGGGAAACUGGGUCUAAUACCGGAUAGGAGCCAUUUUUAGUGUGAUGGUUGGAAAGUUUUUUCGGUGUAGGAUGAGCUCGCGGCCUAUCAGCUUGUUGGUGGGGUAAUGGCCUACCAAGGCGGCGACGGGUAGCCGGCCUGAGAGGGUGGACGGCCACAUUGGGACUGAGAGACGGCCCAGACUCCUACGGGAGGCAGCAGUGGGGAAUAUUGAACAAUGGGCGCAAGCCUGAUGCAGCGACGCCGCGUGGGGGAUGACGGCCUUCGGGUUGUAAACUCCUUUCGCUAGGGACGAAGCUUUUUGUGACGGUACCUAGAUAAGAAGCACCGGCUAACUACGUG
rnacentral:rRNA from 1 species